rnacentral:rRNA from 1 species
CUGGUAUUCCGUUACGAACGAGACCUCAGCCUGCUAACUAGCGAUGCCCAUUUUUAAUGGGUAGCCCGCUUCUUAGAGGGACUAUUCGUGUUCAACGAAUGGAAGUUUGAGGCAAUAACAGGUCUGUGAUGCCCUUAGAUGUUCUGGGCCGCACGCGCGCCUACACUGAUGGAUGCAACGAGCUCUACCCUUGACCGAAAGGCCCGGGUAAACUUGUCAAAAUCCAUCGUGAUGGGGAUAGAUUAUUGCAAUUCUUGAUCUUCAACGAGGAAUUCCUAGUAAGCGCGAGUCAUCAGCUCGCGUUGAUUACGUCCCUGCCCUUUGUACACACCGCCCGUCGCUCCUACCGAUUGAAUGGUCCGGCGAAAUCUUCAGAUUGCUGGCGAGGCUAACCCCUCGCUGUGAGAAGUUGAUUAAACCUUAUCAUUUAGAGGAAGGAGAAGUCGUAACAAGGUUUCCGUAGGUGAACCUGCAGAAGGAUCAAUCCAUAUGACUAGUAGAUCCUCUAGAGUCGACCUGCAGGCAUGCAAGCUUUCCCUAUAG